rnacentral:rRNA from 1 species
GGGACACGUGGUAUCCUGUCUGAAUAUGGGGGGACCAUCCUCCAAGGCUAAAUACUCCUGACUGACCGAUAGUGAACCAGUACCGUGAGGGAAAGGCGAAAAGAACCCCGGCGAGGGGAGUGAAAAAGAACCUGAAACCGUGUACGUACAAGCAGUGGGAGCACGCUUAGGCGUGUGACUGCGUACCUUUUGUAUAAUGGGUCAGCGACUUAUAUUCUGUAGCAAGGUUAACCGAAUAGGGGAGCCGAAGGGAAACCGAGUCUUAACUGGGCGUUAAGUUGCAGGGUAUAGACCCGAAACCCGGUGAUCUAGCCAUGGGCAGGUUGAAGGUUGGGUAACACUAACUGGAGGACCGAACCGACUAAUGUUGAAAAAUUAGCGGAUGACUUGUGGCUGGGGGUGAAAGGCCAAUCAAACCGGGAGAUAGCUGGUUCUCCCCGAAAGCUAUUUAGGUAGCGCCUCGUGAAUUCAUCUCCGGGGGUAGAGCACUGUUUCGGCAAGGGGGUCAUCCCGACUUACCAACCCGAUGCAAACUGCGAAUACCGGAGAAUGUUAUCACGGGAGACACACGGCGGGUGCUAACGUCCGUCGUGAAGAGGGAAACAACCCAGACCGCCAGCUAAGGUCCCAAAGUCAUGGUUAAGUGGGAAACGAUGUGGGAAGGCCCAGACAGCCAGGAUGUUGGCUUAGAAGCAGCCAUCAUUUAAAGAAAGCGUAAUAGCUCACUGGUCGAGUCGGCCUGCGCGGAAGAUGUAACGGGGCUAAACCAUGCACCGAAGCUGCGGCAGCGACACUAUGUGUUGUUGGGUAGGGGAGCGUUCUGUAAGCCUGUGAAGGUGUGCUGUGAGGCAUGCUGGAGGUAUCAGAAGUGCGAAUGCUGACAUAAGUAACGAUAAAGCGGGUGAAAAGCCCGCUCGCCGGAAGACCAAGGGUUCCUGUCCAACGUUAAUCGGGGCAGGGUGAGUCGACCCCUAAGGCGAGGCCGAAAGGCGUAGUCGAUGGGAAACAGGUUAAUAUUCCUGUACUUGGUGUUACUGCGAAGGGGGGACGGAGAAGGCUAUGUUGGCCGGGCGACGGUUGUCCCGGUUUAAGCGUGUAGGCUGGUUUUCCAGGCAAAUCCGGAAAAUCAAGGCUGAGGCGUGAUGACGAGGCACUACGGUGCUGAAGCAACAAAUGCCCUG